GCGGAGGAAAAGAAACCAACAGGGAUUGCCCUAGUAACGGCGAGUGAAGCGGCAACAGCUCAAAUUUGAAAUCUGGCUUCGGCCCGAGUUGUAAUUUGCAGAGGAAGCUUUAGGCGCGGCACCUUCUGAGUCCCCUGGAACGGGGCGCCAUAGAGGGUGAGAGCCCCGUAUAGUUGGAUGCCUAGCCUGUGUAAAGCUCCUUCGACGAGUCGAGUAGUUUGGGAAUGCUGCUCAAAAUGGGAGGUAAAUUUCUUCUAAAGCUAAAUACCGGCCAGAGACCGAUAGCGCACAAGUAGAGUGAUCGAAAGAUGAAAAGCACUUUGAAAAGAGGGUUAAAUAGCACGUGAAAUUGUUGAAAGGGAAGCGCUUGUGACCAGACUUGCGCCGGGCAGAUCAUCCGGUGUUCUCACCGGUGCACUCUGCCCGGCUCAGGCCAGCAUCGGUUCUCGCGGGGGGAUAAAGGCAUCGGGAACGUGGCUCCUCCGGGAGUGUUAUAGCCCGUUGCGUAAUGCCCUCGCGGGGACCGAGGUUCGCGC
rnacentral:rRNA from 1 species